rnacentral:rRNA from 1 species
UUUCCUACUUCCCCCACGAUCCGUCCGAGUGCGGCAGGUGCACAGCGAUACUUAUCACGCGUACCGCUCGCUCGGGGGGUGGGUGCUCGGCAGUCGGGCGUAGAGACCGUCGAGCGCGGAGAGAGGAGACGAGGGGGCGAGGUCGGCGGAGAGGGGGCGAAGGGAGGGGAGGAGAGUGUUUGGGAUCGCGGCGGUGUGGGACGCGUCGGCGACGUAGGGAGGGGCGAGAGGUGAGCUGGCCGGGGUCUAGCUCGCCUAGCUGCGGGUCUAGGCGUCGCCGUGGCCGUGCCCGCGCGGCAGCAGGUCGACCAGGAGCUCCUAGCUACCUACCCCCACCUUGGGAUCGGGGUGUGGGUGGGUACCUACUGCUGCCGUCGCCGGAAGAGAGCUACCCCACCCCUCGCUUCGAAGGACUACGCCACCGGGAGCUACGGACGCUGCCCGACGUCGUGGAUCUGAAGUUUCGACAGCCGGCCGGGGCUACCUCGGAACGUCGCCGACCCGCACUGGUACGAGACGGAGGCGACCACUCUCGACACUCCUCAGUCUCUCCCUCUAACUCCUCCUCCUUCUACUAUGUGGGCCGUCGCGCUGUGUACGCAGAGGGUUGCCGCGAACGUUGCCCUCUAGGCACCCCUCCCCCCAGCCCUCCUCCGGGGGUCGCCGCACGAGCGUGUGCGUAAGGUGCUGCUGGUGUAGUGGUCGCGGGGACGGUAGGAGGAGGUUCGGGUACCGGUCACCGAGGGGUUCCGGUUCGAUACAGUCCGACGUCGUCGUUCCACUCGGGGUAGUGAGACGCAAAUAAAGAAGUCUAGUACGUCGUCGUUACACUGACUCCUUAGCUACGAAAUGUAUUAACUAGUCAAUUGACCAUUAUAUAGAUAUCUUAUCGGUUCGUUUUUUGUAACGCAAAGGAUCUACAAAGUAUGCUAUAAUUUCAACCUUGGUCCGAUUAUCUGUUUAACAUAUAGGCUAAUACGAUCUUUUUCCUCUUAUUUUUCAAAUGAAAAUACUACCAUCCUACAGAAGGAAUCAAAACAAAGGAUACAAGAGAGUUUUUUUUAGACCCGAUGUGGUAGUCAUAGUUGUGGCCAUUUUUCUUAGGUUAGUUUUGUACUACAAAAGGGGAACCGAUAUACAAAUAAACUUCCUUUGGUAAGUUAAGAGUCACUAGAAAGUAAUACGAGGAAUAACGGUAAAAAGGAUUACACGGAUAUCUUCACUAAAUAGUCCACAAAACUAUAUAAUAGAAUAUUCCCUUACGGUUUCAAAAAAACCUAACACUUAAGAGACCAGUCUUAGCCAACAAAAAGGGAACACAAGUAAAUAAAGAGUCUAACGUCUUGACUGCUCACAUCUGAUUCAACUACUAGAUAUCCACAACGAGGAGAGGGGACUACACAUCACGUUGAUAUUUAUCCCUCUCUUAACACACUCCUCUCGAGAGAACGAUGACAAGACUCGAGUGAGAAACUGAUUAGAUUUACAACAGAGACGAGUGACUAGCUAGUUCCUUCUGUGACUAUAUAGUCGUUCCUGGUCGUGUUUUUCUUCUGGUUAAUUCAAUGAACACAAAUUCUCAUGUGAUGAAAACUGAAACCUCAGUGUGACCACGUACCCCGCAGCGUACCAGAUACGACCUCCACAAGUGUAUAUUGUUCAAGUGAUAAACAAGGUAACCAGUCAACAUAUUAGACACCCGCAUAAAUUCAACUUGAUACGAGGAAAGAACCAUAAACCUCUGUUCUAUGACCGUCAAAAAUGCAAUGUUCUGACAAAUAAUCAAUAAACAUCAAAACAUUGUGAGAGGUAACAGUUACCAUCAAGUCUAAGAAGUCCUUCUUACCCAGAACAUAAAUAUAAUAAGUUAACACGUUAUUAUCUAUCUAUUGUUUUCUAUCUAUGAAUUCUUCAAAUGUCUAAACUCAUACUUUCAAAGUGGGGCCACUCACACCAUAACUUAGUAUUGAGAUUAACACCAAAUCAAAUAAGAUCCAAUGGCCAUGUCUCAUACUUGUGAACGUCUCAAAUUUACCAUUUCGUCG